UGUCUACAUUGGAUAAUCUUGGCACCAGCAUAUGUUACAAUACCAGCCAUUUCCAUCGAGUACCAUCCUGCACCCUAAACAAAAAGGUAUUCGAGAAUUAAAAGUUGCACCCUAAUCCACUAGCCUGAACCCAUAUUUGAGGGUAUUCGAGGGCAGUGUUCAUAAGCAGGAACAGGAUUUGGAAGCAUGUAGUCACUGAGCUGAGGAUGGCAGCAUAACAGCUCCCAAACAUCUGGAGAGUAUAGCCAGCAAAAAGAGCAUUGGUGGACCAAUUGGCAGCAUAUCAGCUCCCAACACCUGGAGAGGAUAGCAAGCAAAAAAGAGCAUUCGACCAAUUGAGAGCAUAACAGCUCCCAACACCUGGAGAGGAUAGCCACCAAAAAGAGCAUGUAGAUUGCCUAGGGUAACUUGAGGUUGCAAGGUCGUCUAGUCUCAUUCUUGUACUCCCUGCAUCACUUCUCAGAUAAUUUUGGAACUUAGAUGUCAGAGUAGGUACAGCAGGAUAUAAGUUAAUAGAACUUUGCUGGAGAAACCCACAUGCCAAAAGGUUGUUGUUCAUUUUGCAGCCAGUUCACAACAAUCCUGGGAAAUGGAAUGAAAUUAGAGGUUCAACACUAGUAUUCCAGCGAAAACAAAUUUCGUAUGCAAAUGCAAAUUUCGUAUGCAAAUGGACAUGUAGCACUUGAGAAUAAAAUGCACAAAGAAACACAAAUUCUCAUACAAAUUUAGGACCAUUCGGACAACACAUAUGAAAUUACCAUCAUAUCGAGAAAAAAUGCUGGACAUUUCUGUUCACAGAACUGCAAUAUGUGAGAUUACCCACGUCCUAUCCAAAAAGCUGAUGCAUGGAAAUUUCUUUGCUCAUAUAAUUAAGCCAAAAAUAGAAAAAAGAAAUAUAUUAACAUCAUUGCAAAGUAACAAAAAAAAGAAAAAAUUCCCUUGGCUCGGAGAUUCAGUUGGACACUGGAAAUGCAAAGUUAUAGAAAAGGAAAUGCAUUCCCAUGAAAACUUGAGAUAAGAAUAAUGGGUUCAUAUAGUGUGCAUAGGAUAAGAUUCUCACGAUAUUAUGAUAGUUUAACCUUCGUUCAAAAAAAGAAUAUUCACUAACCUGGGCCUGGGAAUUCUUUAGUUCAUCUUUAUACUUCAGUAUCAUCUGGUAAUAUUUCAUCCUCAGAUCUUUACCCUUCUGUUUUACCCUAUUCGUCACAAAGGCAUUGUAUUCCAUUUUAUCAAACGCAGAUUCCUCAUUCUUCUUAAACCAUUCGCAGAUCGCUUCUGUAAUAGCCAUCACAUAUACACCACAGUUAUAUG
rnacentral:lncRNA from 1 species